UUUAUUUAAUUCAAAUCUUUAUUUUGCAGAUGAGGAAACAGCAACCCAGAGAGGAGAAGUAACCCACACUAGAUCAUUUCGUGAAGGAGCAAGGCUGAAGACCCAGACCUGGACUUUCUUAGGGGAGGGCUACGGAUCACAUCUUCUGCAAUAUUUCCAAGUCAUCUUUUCAAAAGCACAUAACUGAAAACAGGAGAUGCAUGGUGUGCCUGAAUAAAGACAAACUUACU
rnacentral:lncRNA from 1 species